ensembl:lncRNA
GUUGGCGGCUGCUUUCUGGCAAGUGUGAUAAGGGAGCCCGUCAAUAAAGGGAGGGGGCACUGGCUGAUGAUCUAACUCUGCCAGUAAUCGUCUUAGCCUACCGUCUCCAGAAAUGAAGGGCUCAUAUGAGAGGAAUAAACUCACCCAAUGAAGAAUCAUUUAACUCACAAAUUCAAAUAUAUGUCUGGCUUCAAGUCGUAGAAUUCAAGCAGCAAGAUAUUUUACAGAUGGUGUUUUCCUUAAAGUGAAUACAGCAAGCUAAAACGAAGAGGGAGCUGAAGGAUUUAGUUUUGAAAUAUUCUGUUUUAUUUUCUGUCUCUCGAGAAACCAGAGAAGUACAAGACAAAAAGAAAACACUAUUACCCCUAUGGAUUUCUUCUCAAAACACAUUUAAACGUCAGUGAACAUUUCAAUAAUUGGAUUCUGGAUAACACUGUUACAGAAAACCUUGGGAGAACAACUGCAGUAUCACAUCAUUCACCUCUUACUGAGCAGCAGGAAAAGAGAAGAGGAUGAGGAUGGAGAUGAAAAGAAAGAGGCCAAAGGUCAUCAUCACCUUCAAGUAGGACCUACUGUAUAUGGAGGAGCACGGAGACAUGGAGCUUUAUGAAAAUGAAUUUGAACAGAAAGCCUCCAAUCUCUCUCCGCCCCUAGCCAAUCUCCCUCAGUCACCCGCAUCACUAUGGAAACUGUCUGACUGACUUAGCCGAGUGACUGUAUGGCUCGCUUCUACAGCCUGCCUGACUGACUUGUGGCAUGCAGCCAUGUCUGGGGUUGGGACUGACGCUCAGGUUGCACAGCUGACACAUUCCAAACCUUGUCAGUUGCAACGUCAACCUAAGCUUGUUAAAAGCUGCAAUACUGUUUUCUGGCCUGAACGCUGUAAUACUAUGGCUGCAUGUAGAAUAAUCUUAUGGAAAUGUCAAUUUCUGACCUAGAGGACUGUGUGUCUACAUGAUUUGUAAGCAUCAUAAUAGUAAAACAGUCUUGUGACCCCAUUUUGUGUCUUUUUAAUUAGCAUGCUAGUUGGGCCUGACUGGUAAGGGUAGUUGGCAUCAUUUCCACUCCUUCUACUUUCCUCUGGCAAAAUAAUGGGGGAAGAAUAUUGGUCAUGGUAUUAAAAGGUUUAUCAGCUUCAAAGCUAAGAGGGUUGGUCCACCAUCCCAUCAGUUAGACCAUGCAAUCCUCCCAGCUCUGACAAGAACGGGCCAUAGCAUGAAGACAAAUUCUCCAGCUUAGCUCCCAAUUCAGGGCUUUUACAUAAAGCAUGGAGAAGCACAUUUACAUGUGCCGUUGACGUCAGCCCUAAUCCAUCACAAACCCGUG